GGAGAGGUGUCCGAGUGGUUGAAGGAGCACGCCUGGAAAGUGUGUAUACGGUAACACCGUAUCGAGGGUUCGAAUCCCUCCCUCUCCGCCA
rnacentral:tRNA from 2 species